CUGCAGACUGCGAACUAAGGGGAGGGAGACCGGAAGAGAGGAGUAGCUCACCUUUAAAUCCCAAUGUCCAUCCUCCGGCAGCCAGGAGAGCAAGCAGCAUCUUCUCAUCUUUGACCUGUAGAACAGACAAGGCCAAGGCACAGCCUUCUCUUAGAAUCUAAUUGUGGAUGAAAAGGCUGAGAAGAAUCCAAGAAACUGUGGGACCUGAUUCUGUAUUCUGAGUCUUCAACUGAAGGAAACAUUAAAGAGUUGUGCAGGUCCUGAGAUGGUCAUUUAUUUCCAAACUGGUGAAAUGGCAACUUGGCUAAGUUUCUGCGAGACUAUAGCAUCAAUAAAGGGGUCUCAAGGAGCAGCCAAGUGUUGGGAACCAUGAGAGCCCUGAGAUAAACAUCCUGCCCCAGCUAAUUGAGAGCCCUGAGAUUAACAUCCUGCCUGAC